rnacentral:miRNA from 1 species
CGUGGAUCUUGCAAUGCCAUCAC